AUUGAACGCUGGCGGCAGGCCUAACACAUGCAAGUCGAACGGUAACAGGAAGCAGCUUGCUGCUUCGCUGACGAGUGGCGGACGGGUGAGUAAUGUCUGGGAAACUGCCUGAUGGAGGGGGAUAACUACUGGAAACGGUAGCUAAUACCGCAUAACGUCGCAAGACCAAAGAGGGGGACCUUAGGGCCUCUUGCCAUCGGAUGUGCCCAGAUGGGAUUAGCUAGUAGGUGGGGUAACGGCUCACCUAGGCGACGAUCCCUAGCUGGUCUGAGAGGAUGACCAGCCACACUGGAACUGAGACACGGUCCAGACUCCUACGGGAGGCAGCAGUGGGGAAUAUUGCACAAUGGGCGCAAGCCUGAUGCAGCCAUGCCGCGUGUAUGAAGAAGGCCUUCGGGUUGUAAAGUACUUUCAGCGGGGAGGAAGGGAGUAAAGUUAAUACCUGUGCUAAUUGACGUUACCCGCAGAAGAAGCACCGGCUAACUCCGUG
rnacentral:rRNA from 1 species